rnacentral:rRNA from 1 species
GACGAGGGCGCGAGCGUUGUCCGGAUUUAUUGGGCGUAAAGAGCUCGUAGGCGGCUUGUCGCGUCGACUGUGAAAUCCCGCGGCUCAACCGCGGGUCUGCAGUCGAUACGGGCAGGCUAGAGUUCGGUAGGGGAGACUGGAAUUCCUGGUGUAGCGGUGAAAUGCGCAGAUAUCAGGAGGAACACCGAUGGCGAAGGCAGGCUCUGGGCCGAUGACUGACGUGAGGAGCGAAAGCGUGGGGGAGCGAACAGG